rnacentral:rRNA from 1 species
UAGGGAAUCUUCCGCAAUGGACGAAAGUCUGACGGAGCAACGCCGCGUGAGUGAAGAAGGCCUUCGGGUCGUAAAGCUCUGUUGUUAGGGAAGAACAAGUACGAGAGUAACUGCUCGUACCUUGACGGUACCUAACCAGAAAGCCACGGCUAACUACGUGCCAGCAGCCGCGGUAAUACGUAGGUGGCAAGCGUUGUCCGGAAUUAUUGGGCGUAAAGCGCGCGCAGGCGGUCCUUUAAGUCUGAUGUGAAAGCCCACGGCUCAACCGUGGAGGGUCAUUGGAAACUGGGGGACUUGAGUGCAGAAGAGGAGAGUGGAAUUCCACGUGUAGCGGUGAAAUGCGUAGAGAUGUGGAGGAACACCAGUGGCGAAGGCGACUCUCUGGUCUGUAACUGACGCUGAGGCGCGAAAGCGUGGGGAGCAAACAGGAUUAGAUACCCUGGUAGUCCACGCCGUAAACGAUGAGUGCUAAGUGUUAGAGGGUUUCCGCCC